rnacentral:lncRNA from 1 species
GUAUGGUGACGGUUACCUAUGCGUCCGAGUCUAGCAUGACCGUGAGUCAUAAUUGCUAUUAAAAUUUCGAAAGAAGUGAACAGUUGUAAUAAUUACUUGUUAAAUGAACUAUGAAGUGAUAGUUGAGAAGCAAAUGAACUAAAAAGGAACUUUUUGUUCUUUUCCCUUGAUGGGACAUAUUGUUGAACUGUUUUCCCUUGCCGGGAUCUAUUGUUUAGCUGUAUUCCCUUGCCGGGAUUUAUUGUUGAGUUAUUCUGCCUUGCUGGAAUUUAUUGUUGAAUUAUUCUUCCUUGCUGGGAUAUUUUGCCUUUUUAUUUAUUCAUUUCCUGUUUGGUUGUGACCAUUGAUUGGGUGAGGAAGAGAGAGUAAAAGCACGAAGGGUGAUGCCUUGCACUAUGUAUUGAGAGUGAAAGCACGAAGGGUGAUGUCGUGCACUGUAUAUUGAGAGUAAAAGCAUGAAGGGUGAUGUCGUGCAUUAUAUUUGACAGUCUUGGUGAGGAAUAAGAGUAAAAACACGAAGGAUGAUGUCGUGCAUUAUAUUUGAUAGUUUUGGUGAAAACUGAGAGUAAAAGCACGAAGUGUGGUGCCGUGCGGUUGUUGAUUUACUGGCUUUCUCUAUUUAUUAUUAUAUAUUCAGAUCCAUUUCUCGUUUGUUGAAGUUAUAAUUGAACUGUUACACUCCCAGCAUGUCCCCUCCUCAUUAUCUGUUUAAAUUCUUGUUCUCUUUAUGCUAUUGCACAUAUAUAUGUACAGGUUGAUUAUGGUAGGUCCGAUUUAGCCUCGUCACUACCUCGUCGAGGUUAGGCCAGGCACUUACCAGCACAUGGGGUCGGUUGUGUUGAUACUACACAUUUGUGACUUUUUGUACACAGGUCAGGACACAUCCUACGGACCACAGCAGUAGUUAGGGAGCGAUCCUUCAGUCCAGAGACUCUAAGGUAGUUCACUGGCGCUCGCGGGCCCUGAGUCUCCUCUAUCUCUUACAGUUUGUUUUUAUUGUAUCAAAACAGACAUGUUAUGUACUUCUUUCAGACUGUUGUUUUUAGUACUCUUUUAGUCGUUCGUGAGUAGUGACACCAGAUACUGGAUAGAGGCAUGUUAUUAAUUUUUGCACUUUAUCUUUGCUAUCGUUCCUAAAAGUCUUCCGCGUGGUUUUAUUUAAUUAAUUCAGUAUUUAUAUUGUUUUAGAUUAAGGUUAUUGUGAAAAUGAUUAAAAAGGGUUGGCGUGCCUAGCUUCGAUAGUGAGAUUGGAUAUUUCUGAGCCUAGUAGGGAUUGUGAAAAUGAUUAAAAAUGGUUGGCUUGCCUAGCUUCGACAGUAUGCAAUCACGAUUCCUGAUGGUGGGAAAAUACGGGUUGUGACAAUAAUACAGACCCUGGUUCGAGUCCUAGACAAUGCAUUUUUAUAAUUGCAUAAUUAACAAUAACGAUUGAAUUCUGUCAGAAAAUACCGACCUACUUUGGUCAGUUUUUUCGGUAAACUUUUUCUUUUGGGUCAUUUGUGAAAAAUAAAUUAGACCGAAAUCGAUCGAAAAUUCUGACCGAUU